GACGGAGGGGGCGAGCGUUGUCCGGAAUUACUGGGCGUAAAGAGCGUGUAGGCGGCCUCGUAAGUCGGCUGUGAAAGCCCCGGGCUCAACUCGGGGAGGUCAGCCGAAACUGCAGGGCUUGAGUGCGGGAGAGGAGAGUGGAACUGCCGGUGUAGCGGUGAUAUGCGUAGAUAUCGGCAGGAACACCCGUGGCGAAGGCGGCUCUCUGGACCGCCACUGACGCUGAGACGCGAAAGCCAGGGGAGCAAACGGGAUUAGAUACCCGCGUA
rnacentral:rRNA from 1 species